rnacentral:rRNA from 1 species
AUGCAAGGAAUGGCAAUGGCCAUUCAGCACUCGGAUAAACCAGUGAUUGUCCAAUCGGAUUCCUCAUGUGCUCUAGCCACUAUUUUGGAUGACACUUUAUCUAGGUCGGUCUAUGGUCAUUUAGAUGCCGAGAUUAAGGCACUUCUAGUUGAUAGGGAGUCUGUUCCUCUGAAAAUUAGUAAAGAUCAAAACAGAGUAGCUCAUCUUUUGGCACAUUAUAAUCGUACCGAGUGUUAUACUGCGGUAUGGUUGAGUUCGAGUCCUCCGUGUUGUGAGGAGCAGCUGGCUCAAGAUUGUAACCCUGCUUUUAUGGAAUAA